rnacentral:lncRNA from 1 species
GGGAAUGAAAAGGAAGAACACUGUUAUUUUAGGGAAAUGUUUUGAGGAAUUUAGUGUAUUUUUUUCUGGCACCCACUCAGAAAAAUACUGUAAGCAAACUGUGAAACUUGGGUAGGAAUGUCCUAGUCGUCUCAUUAGCAAUUUAAACAAAACUAAGACUCGAACGCAAGUGUAAAGAUAAACAACAUCAGGAAAGGAAUUCUUCAGUAUGUCCUGAGAAAGUUGUCAUUGAAAUGAGUUUAUCAUUAAUUGAUUUGUGUACUUGGUGUGCUUGUUUUGUUUUACUCUUACAUUUGCUGUGUUAAACAGAUGAAUGUCAGCUCUUUUGUACUUAGCAAAUUAGUGAUUCUUCCCGCCUCCACCAAAUCCCUGAUUGGUCACUUUAGGUAUGACUCACCCUGUUGAAAAUGCACAAACAUAGCAAAAAAAUGGUACAUUAGUCAGAGUUCUCUGGAGAAAACCAAUAAAAUGACAUAGAUCUAUACACCCAGGCACCUGUCUACUUACUUUGGUACCUGCCUACCUACCUACUUAAACAUUUAGAGAUUGCCUGGGUAAGGAAAUGACCUGUGAUUGUGGGGCCUGGCAAGUUCAAACUGUGCAGUUUUGAGGCAGGCUGGAAACUUAUGCAGGGUUUAUCAUUUGCAGGUUUGAGGCAGAAUUUUUUCUUUGAGAAGCCUGAGUCUUUGCCCUUAGGGCAUUCAACUGAUUGGAUGUGACCCACCCACACUAAGGAGAGUGUAUUAAGCUCUCCAGAGAAGCAGAAUCAACAGGUUGGUUGCGUGUAUGUAUACAUAUACAUAUGUGUGUGUGUGUGUAUAUAUAUAUAUAUAUAUAUCAUUAGCAUAAGGAAUUGGUUCAUAUGAUUAUGGAGUCUGAGAAGCCCCCAAAUAUUUGCAUUUGGCAAACUGGAGAGUCAAAAAAGCUGAUGAUAUAGUUCCAAUCCAAAAACUGGUAAGCUCAACACCAAGAAGAGCCAGGGUUUCAGUUUGAGUCUAAAGGCAGGAAAAGACUGAGAGUGCAAUUCAGGUGGUCGGUUGGAAAAGGUGCCCUCUUAACUCCUGAGAGGGUGGGCUUUACUGUUCUAUUCAGGCCUUCACCUGACUGGUUGAUGCAACUGAUUGCUUACAUUAGGGAGGAAAAUUGGCUUUACUCAGUCUGUGAACUCAAAUGUCCACUUUAUCAAAACAUCCUCAUAGACACACCUGGAAUAAUGCUUGACCAAAUAUCUAGGCACCUGCGACUCAAUCAAGCAUGAGAUUAACCUUUUUUUUUUUCGCCAUUGUUAAAAGUACUGGGACCGAUGAUUUGUGAUUAAGAUACUAGAAAGAGGGGAAAAUAUCCAUUAUCCCACCAGAAGUUGUUUCUUUUCCUCCAGUCUUUUAUUUUUAUUUUUAUUUAUUUAUUUUUUUAGGACUACACCCCGAGGCAUAUGGAAGUUCCCAGGCUAGGGGUUGAAUCAGAGCUGUAGCUGCUGGCCACAGCCACAGCCACAGCAAUGUGAGAUCCGAGCCACAUCUUCGACCUACACCACAGCUCACGGCAACGCCAGAUUCCUAACCCACUGAGCAAGGCCAGGGAUCAAAACCCUCAUCCUUGGGGAUACUAGUCGGAUGCAUUUCCACUGCGCCACAACGGGAAUUUCCUCUUCCAGUCUUUUAAAUAAAAGGGUAUAUUUUAAAGCAUCUUGAAAAUGUUUGCAAAAAUGUUUCGAAUGUUUGAAAGCUUUUCUCUCUUUCACAUGUUUGUCCUAGUGGUCAGAGCAAAAAGACCAAAAUGGGCCCUGGGGCUCCCAGAUGUUUGUCCAGUAUCUGCGACUCACUAACUUCAUCAUUUGAGAAAGAGAAUCCUCUUGAACCGCAGUUUUCUUCUGUUUAUGUAUUGUUUCUGUUUGGAGAUCUCUAAUGACCUUUUCACCCUGAACUCCCUGAAGGCUUUCAUCAAAGCCCUUUUAAAGGCAGGAUGAGGGAGGGGCAUUGUUAGUUGUCGCAGAUUUCUUGGUGUGUUCCUGUAAAGCUCCAACAAAACAGAUGUUAUUCUCUGUUCUGCAAGUUUUUGUCUAAAAAUGUAAUACUCUUAAAGGUCAUGGCCCUAAGAAGAGGCUGUGUAUUUCAGGCUACAGGGAGCAUCCUAUAGGCGGCAUAUUUUUGCAAAAGGAGCGGAGCCAGGACGACUUAGCACAAGUGACAGAGGACAAGAAUUAAAGUAAGGUCAAAAUAAAAAGAACAGAUUCAAUAUAGAGUCAAAGUUGUUCUUCCCUAUUACAAGAGGGGUGGGUGGGGGUUACCUGGUCCGGUCCAUUAUUCCAUGCUGGAAGAUUGGAAGUGGUGUAUAGGGGAACAAUGUUUAGUUUACUAAUUCAGUAUUUUACUGUGAGUUUGAACCAAAUAGGAUUUGCAAAAAAAAAAUCAAGGCUUCCUGAUUAUUGAUGCUUAGGACAAGGUGAAAACAAAAGGAAUCAUUUUAGUGAAAAAUAUUAAGAAAAUAUGUGUUUUAUGCAUGUAUGGAGAAACAUUAGAAAUAUUGCAAGCCUGGGAUAGGUCCAAUAUACUCUAUUAAUUCAUGAAUCUAAGUUGAUGUGCUCUUAUGUUGCUUUUCAUGAGACCCAGAAAGACCACAGUUCUCUUAGGAGAACAGUGUAGAUGGUGAUUUAACCAUUUGCUUGACCUGCAUUGAGUGUAACCUGACAAGUACUGUGCCAGGUCCCAGGAUCCUUGGGUGAGUGGUUGUGACUUAGACCUUUGGUAGCUUGUAGUCUCAUGGGAUGUCAGGAGUGCAAAUGAGUAAUUGUAACCCAGUAUCAUAUCUGCAGUAGUGCAAGUAUGUACUAGGGACCAGACUGGGGAGAGCAGAGAGGAAGGAGGCCACCUCUUCCAUGGGAGCACCAGGGAAAGCAUCGCUGCAAUUAUGCUUGACCUGGCUGACACAUUGGGAAUGGCCAUUCCAGGUCUAGGGAAUGGUCAGUCCGGAGGCUUUCAGCAGAUUCUUGGGAUUCUUGGUGUUUCCUGAUAUGUGUUUUCAUAUAGGAAGAACCUACUAGAGAAGAUGUUGUUUUCACUCUCUCUUCCCAGUUCCAUGCCACAAGCCUGAGCUAAUCUUGCAGUAUUCAUGGAUUAGAUUCUGGAACAUUGGCCACCAUCUCUGCACUCUCCUGCUACCUGGCUCAGGGCUUUUUUUUUCUUUCUCUCCUGAAUGAGUCCUAAGUAAAAAUCCACAUAUCCUCUAAACAUUCAUUUUCAAUAUGGCUUUUGCUAUUUUUAAAAAGGCAAAGAGAAGAAAAAUGAUUUUCAUGAUCUUGGAUGAGGGAAGACUUUGUGGCCCUAAUUAAAUGCCUGAGUUUGGUUUUGUGUUUGCUGGGAGCCUACUGUAAAGCAAACCGAUGUGGCCUUCUGUUCUGUUCGAGGCGCCAAGAGCUUGCUGGGCUGGGUUCCCACUGAGUCUGGUAAUGCAUUCCUUCUGUCCCACCCUGUAUUGCAGAGCUUCGGAGGCUGAUGACAUCACCUUGGAUGAUAAAGCUGUCCUCCAAAGGGUUACAAGAAGAGCUGCCAGAGUGGAGCAAGGGAUGGAGGUGGGGGUGCAGAGGGGCUUGCCACUCUGUCCAACAUUGUCAUUGCAUUUGCCUUCUUAAAAAAAAAAAAAAAAAUCCUCUGUAGAAAUAGGAGAGAUUACACUUUUAAAUGUGAAGUAUUUUAUGGGGCUAAUUUAUUGCUCCAUUGCCGCCUGCCCUGCAAGCAGAUCUGUUCAUCUGUUCCCUUGACAGCCUGCAGAUUUAAGUUUGCCUUGCCUCCCAGUGGGCCUCAUCUGGACACCUUGGGAGCUGGUGGGAAUCAUGUAUAAAGUAGGUGUGGGCUGCCAGGGAGAAUCGUUUGAUGCAGUGUUCCUCUGGUUGAAAAUUUUCCUGUCAGGGCUGGGGGUUUACUGAUGCUUCUCGCCAUCCCAUCCUCAAUUCAAUUGUUCAAAGCUCCUCAUCGUUGUUUAAGUCCCAUCUUCAGUGCCACCUCUUGCAGGCACCUUCCCUGACUGUAUAAGGCGUGCACUUGGUAGCGUCACUUCUCAGUUGCCUCACUGCACUGCAGGCUGCGGGAAGGCAGGGAUGAUGGCAUUUGCGGGGAGCUUACCUCGUGCCAAGCCCCUUCUAAGUGCUUUCCGUGAGAGGCUGAGUUCCAGUCCCUAAGCUAGGCCACGCAUGUGAACUCUUUGAGGGUGAAAGAGGCAGGACUUGGGCUGAGGUUGGGCCAUGAUAAGGGGCCCUGGCUUUGGAGGUAGAAAUGAUCUUAGCCUGACGCCCUCUGAGCUUGUUACUCAGGGAACUCUAAUCUCAGUUGCCAGGCAUAUGACCACAGGGUGCUUGAGCCGUGUUUACCAUAUUUCAUCCCUUGCAAAUGGGACACUUUUUAAAAGCACCCACUUUUUGGGGGCUGUUCCUGUGGCCUGAGGAAGUUCCCGGGCAAGGGAUCAAACCUGAGCCAUGGCAGUGACAAUGCCAAGUUCUCAACUGCAGGCCACCUUUAACAUUUUUAACAUUUUUGAAACUGAGAAACAUCUUACAGUUGCU